UACGUAGGGGGGCAAGCGUUGUCCGGACUUACUGGGCGUAAAGCGCGUGCAGGCGGAUUGGUAUGUGCCGUGUGAAAGCUCUCGGCUUGCCCGGGAGAGGUCGCGGUAGACAGCCGAUCUGGAGGCUCGGAGAGGUUAGUGGAAUUCCCGGUGUAGUGGUGAAAUGCGUAGAGAUGUGGAGGAACACCGAUGGCGAAGGCAGCCCCCUGGGUCAAGAUUGACGCUCAUGCACGAAAGCGUGGGGAGCAAACAGG
rnacentral:rRNA from 1 species